rnacentral:rRNA from 1 species
AAGUGGGGGACCUUCGGGCCUCACGCCAUCAGAUGUACCCAGAUGAGAUUAGCUAGUAGGUGGGGUAAUGGCUCACCUAGGCUAUGAUCUCUAGCUGGUCUGAGAGGAUGACCAGCCACACUGGAACUGAGACACGGUCUAGACUCCUACGGGAGGCAGCAGUGGGGAAUAUUGCACAAUGGGCGCAAGCCUGAUGCAGCCAUGCCGCGUGUAUGAAGAAAGCCUUCGGGUUGUAAAGUACUUUCAGCAAGAAAGAAAGUAUUUUAGUUAAUAACUAAAAUAAUUGACGUUACUUGCAAAAGAAGCACCGGCUAACUCCGUGCCAGCAGCCGCGGUAAUACGGAGGGUGCGAGCGUUAAUCGGAAUUACUGGGCUUAAAGCGUACGUAGGCGGUUAAUUAAGUUAGAUGUGAAAUCCCCGAGCUUAACUUGGGAAUUGCAUUUAAAACUGGUUAGCUAGAGUCUUGUAGAGGGGGGUAGAAUUCUAGGUGUAGCGGUGAAAUGCGUAGAUAUCUAGAGGAAUACCAGUGGCGAAGGCGGCCCCCUGGACAAAGACUGACGCUCAGGUACGAAAGCGUGGGGAGCAAACAGGAUUAGAUACCCUGGUAGUCCACGCCGUAAACGAUGUCGACUUGGAGGUUGUGCCCUUGAGGUGUGGCUUCCGGAGCUAACGCGUUAAGUCGACCGCCUGGGGAGUACGGCCGCAAGGCUAAAACUCAAAUGAAUUGACGGGGGCCCGCACAAGCGGUGGAGCAUGUGGUUUAAUUCGAUGCAACGCGAAAAACCUUACCUACUCUUGACAUUCAGAGAAUUUGCUAGAGAUAGCUUAGUGCCUUCGGGAGCUUUGAAACAGGUGCUGCAUGGCUGUCGUCAGCUCGUGUUGUGAAAUGUUGGGUUAAGUCCCGCAACGAGCGCAACCCUUGUCCUUUGUUGCCAGCACGUAAAGGUGGGAACUCAAAGGAGACUGCCGGUGAUAAGCUGGAGGAAGGUGGGGAUGACGUCAAGUCAUCAUGGCCCUUACGAGUAGGGCUACACACGUGCUACAAUGGCAUAUACAAAGAGCAGCAAACUCGCGAGAGCAAGCGAACCUCAUAAAGUAUGUCGUAAUCCGGAUUGGAAUCUGCAACUCGACUCCAUGAAGUCGGAAUCGCUAGU